UCGAACAGCCUAAACAUAGUAGCUCCAAUAAAAUCCACCAUUAAAAUCACCACCGACCACUUCGCUCGCUUCCCCUCCUCACUGGCGCUGUCCCGCCAUGACUGUAGUUGUUCUUUUUGUUGCCGCCCUUUUCUCCCUCCUUUGUGUUGUCGGCUCUGUUAUUACCUCACCACCGCCGACGACGGUGGCCUCUUGUUUUCACCAUUGAUACUCCAUCUUCUAUUGGGUAAAUUACUAAACUUCUAUUAACUGAUUUGGUUUGAAUGAAUUAACUCCCUAGCUUAUCAAACCUAAACCGUUGAUUCCAUCCUCUCUCUUGUUGGUUGCGCCGCCCUUUUGGGUUGCCGGUGUGUUGGUGUUCCAUUGUCGAUGCCGUUUUCCCUUGCUCAUUGAUGUGGGUUGUUGUUUCUUGUUGCUCGUUCCUCUGCUUCGGUUUCCCUUGAUAAAUUGCACUCACUGGUAAUUAAAUAUUAAAGAAUGAUCAUGGAUUAAAGGGAUCGAUGGUGAUCGAGGAAUGAGAUUCUUGGAGGUUAGGUGUGACGAUUGAAGAAUCCUUUUUAAUGACUUUGUAGGUAUUGUGUAAGCUCGGAUGUGGAUUACAGAUGUGAUUGAGGAAGGAAUAAUUUUGCUGAAACGUUAUAAGGCUAUCAAGAAUUAUGAUAGGCUAAGAUAUCUUGUGUAUUUAUAGUUGAUUAUAAGGGUUAAUUCAGGUUUUGUUUUGUAAAUUGAAUUCUAAGUGUAAUUAGUGAGGAAUAAGUAGUUCUAAAUAGCAGCUCAAAAGUGUGGGCUGUUAUACUAUCCAUGCCGAAGCAGGUAUUCAAGUUCUACACCAACGUCUAGGCUAUCCAUGCCGAAGCAAAUAUUCAAGAUUCUACAACAACGUCUAGGCUAUCCUAGCCUACUCUCUUCCAAUAGACCCGAAAAAAUCACCAAUUGGGUCAUUAUAUACAAAUGCCAAGUACAAAAUUCAAAAAAAAAAAAAAAAAGUUCAACAUUCUACAAAGUUCCAACAGUUCAAGUUCACGUGGCUACCAAAUAAUUUUCUUCCUACAAGAUACAAGAAGUCUACUACCAUACAAGCGUCUUAUCAAUAAAAUAUUUCAAGCACAAAAAUCGAAACUACAUGCAAUCCUAGAAGUUAUUUCAUAAACAAAACUUGAAAUACUUACAUGGACAAGGCAAGAGCAACAAGAUCAAGGGGAGAGUAGUCGACCUUUGAAAAAGAAAGAAAGAAAAGAAAAUGAAAGG